AUACUUACCUGGCAGGGGAAAUACCAUGAUCACGAAGCUGAUUUCCCCAGGGCGAGGCUUAUCCAUUGCAUUUCGGAUGUGCUGACCCCUGCGAUUUCCCCAAAUGUGGGAAACUCGACUGCAUAAUUAGUGGUAGUGGGAGACAAUAUUUAAAAAAAUAUAUAUCUGUCU